UUUAUCAGGCGCAGCUUCAUUCCACGUGCACAUUCCUGUCAGAAACGUACAUGGCACAGACACAGGUUUAUGUCGUCGCCCUACAACCAGGUGAACGGUGUUUGAAUGACCAUUUGUAGACAUUUUUAAACUUCAACUGUCACGUUUUAAAGGAAGGCACAUCAGGUUACAGAAGGAGGAGAGAACAUACCUGCUUAUCAUCUCAUCAAGACUUUGAUAUCACCCUAAAAAGAAACCAGACAACCUUUGCUUCACUGAAGGAGUGACAUCAGACCGAAGAAAUCAGCGAUGUCAGAGUCAUAUCAGUUAGAUGCAUCGAUAGAGGAAGCGCUCCCGCUGAACUCUGUACCAGGAACAGGUGUUCAACAACCUGAGGACACUGGCAAUCAAGUAAUCUGCGUCGGUGAGGACUCUGCUGCGUCCUGCUGCAGUGACAAGUACCACAGGAAGCUGGCCAUCGCUAGCAUCAUCUGCGGGUUCUCCUGCUUCGGAGUCCUAGCCUUGAUUUAUUCCGUAAAGGCUGAGAAUGCUGACAAAGCUGAGAAAGCCAAGGGGACAAGAGACAGGAGAGCUGCAAAGUAUUUAAGACAGGCCAAAAAAUGGGGCAUCAUCUCCAUCGUGACAUGGGUUUCCAUCCUGGUGUCAGUUUCUUUGACACUGGUAUUACUGGUGCUGGUCCUAUCAAAGCUGGGCUUUGAUUGACGAACCUCAGUGGAGCACAUCCAGGGGAGUGUCUUUAAAGAUUCUGAUCAACUAUAUCACUGAAGCUGUGGAGUAACUAAAAGUUACAAUAACCUUAAAAAUACUGAAUUUGUUUAUGUUGUGCUGAAUGUGCUCUAAUCAGCAUUUACAAGAACAAACAGCUGAAAAUCGUAUUAAAUGUAUUAAAACUGUUUGUUAUAUGCUGUAAUAUUUAUUUGACAUUAUAUGGACAUGUGGACAAUUCCAACUGCAAAUGUAAAAAUCCAGCAUUGCCUAUAGUUACAGAACAUGACACAAUAUUACACAUAUACAUUAUAUAUCAAAGAUUACACCUGUUACACUCCAGUAAUGACCCAAACUUUAAUACUCUCCAUUACACUUUAACUUUCUUACUGUAGAUAACUACACAUAUUAAGAAAGUUAAUGAAUCAAUCAACAAGCCACUCAAUUAUGGCAACGAAUAACUUCAGGAUUGAGUCUCUACCGGAGAUAAAAUGAGUGGCAGUGCUUCAUCAGGACAUUAUGAGGUCCUGCUCUUGGUGUACCACAUUGGCAUUAUUGCAUUGUUACUGUAUUUGCUUUAUUAAUGUCAAAUGUAUAUAUGCUGCACUUUUAUACAAACAUUAAACAAUUUUAUAAUAAAAUGACUUUUGUGCUCCGAGUUGCUGGAAACAUUUUAACACGCACAGAAAAACAAAAAACAAAAACACACCAAUGAUUACAAAUGUGCCAACAAAACACCUAUUUAAACACAUUUUUACAGUUAAGGCAACCCCAUUAACAUUUGGCAAAUAUAAAAUAAACACAUAUAGGCUGUUUAAUAACAAGUUAAUACUUGCAAUGCAAAUAUAAACACCACGAAAAAACAACAGUGGACACUUCCAGUAAUCAUUAGAAAUGCUUACUGGAGAGUCAUAUUGUCUUUAUGGCACAUUUAAUACAAAAGAAACCUCCACA